rnacentral:rRNA from 1 species
UACGAAGGGGGCUAGCGUUGUUCGGAAUUACUGGGCUUAAAGCGCGCGCAGGUGGUCUUUCAAGUCAGUGGUGAAAGCCCGGAGCUCAACUCCGGAAAUGCCAUUGAAACUGUGAGACUUGAGGACGAGAGAGGUGAGUGGAAUUCCCAGUGUAGAGGUGAAAUUCGUAGAUAUUGGGAAGAACACCGAUGGCGAAGGCGGCUCACUGGCAAGUAUCUGACGCUCAGGCGCGAAAGCGUGGGGAUCAAACAGG